rnacentral:rRNA from 1 species
UACGUAGGGUGCAAGCGUUGUCCGGAAUUAUUGGGCGUAAAGAGCUCGUAGGCGGUUUGUCGCGUCUGCUGUGAAAUCCCGAGGCUCAACCUCGGGCCUGCAGUGGGUACGGGCAGACUAGAGUGCGGUAGGGGAGAUUGGAAUUCCUGGUGUAGCGGUGGAAUGCGCAGAUAUCAGGAGGAACACCGAUGGCGAAGGCAGAUCUCUGGGCCGUAACUGACGCUGAGGAGCGAAAAGCGUGGGGGAGCGAACAGG